rnacentral:rRNA from 1 species
UUAAGCGACUAAGCGUACACGGUGGAUGCCCUGGCAGUCAGAGGCGAUGAAGGGCGUGCUAAUCUGCGAUAAGCGCCGGUAAGGUGAUAUGAACCGUUAUAACCGGCGAUACCCGAAUGGGGAAACCCAGUGUGACUCGUCACACUAUCAUUAACUGAAUCCAUAGGUUAAUGAGGCGAACCGGGGAACUGAAACAUCUAAGUACCCCGAGGAAAAGAAAUCAACCGAGAUUCCCCCAGUAGCGGCGAGCGAACGGGGAGGAGCCCAGAGCCUGAAUCAGCAUGUGUGUUAGUGGAAGCGUCUGGAAAGGCGCGCGAUACAGGGUGACAGCCCCGUACACAAAAGCGCAUGUGCUGUGAGCUCGAUGAGUAGGGCGGGACACGUGGUAUCCUGUCUGAAUAUGGGGGGACCAUCCUCCAAGGCUAAAUACUCCUGACUGACCGAUAGUGAACCAGUACCGUGAGGGAAAGGCGAAAAGAACCCCGGCGAGGGGAGUGAAAAAGAACCUGAAACCGUGUACGUACAAGCAGUGGGAGCCCCACCACCAAAGCAUUCUCUGGUGUUGAAGGCCCUGCAAAGCAGCAUCGCGGUGGCGGAGCGUCGUUUGCGACGCCCAACACACAAAACAAGCGGUGAGUGCUUUGGGGUGGGGUGACUGCGUACCUUUUGUAUAAUGGGUCAGCGACUUAUAUUCUGUAGCAAGGUUAACCGAAUAGGGGAGCCGGAGGGAAACCGAGUCUUAAUUGGGCGUUAAGUUGCAGGGUAUAGACCCGAAACCCGGUGAUCUAGCCAUGGGCAGGUUGAAGGUUGGGUAACACUAACUGGAGGACCGAACCGACUAAUGUUGAAAAAUUAGCGGAUGACCUGUGGCUGGGGGUGAAAGGCCAUCAAACCGGGAGAUAGCUGGUUCUCCCCGAAAGCUAUUUAGGUAGCGCCUCGUGAAUUCAUCUCCGGGGGUAGAGCACUGUUUCGGCUAGGGGGCCAUCCCGGCUUACCAACCCGAUGCAAACUGCGAAUACCGGAGAAUGUUAUCACGGGAGACACACGGCGGGUGCUAACGUCCGUCGUGAAGAGGGAAACAACCCAGACCGCCAGCUAAGGUCCCAAAGUCAUGGUUAAGUGGGAAACGAUGUGGGAAGGCCCAGACAGCCAGGAUGUUGGCUUAGAAGCAGCCAUCAUUUAAAGAAAGCGUAAUAGCUCACUGGUCGAGUCGGCCUGCGCGGAAGAUGUAACGGGGCUAAACCAUGCACCGAAGCUGCGGCAGCGACACUGUGUGUUGUUGGGUAGGGGAGCGUUCUGUAAGCCUGUGAAGGUGUGUCGUGAGGCAUGCUGGAGGUAUCAGAAGUGCGAAUGCUGACAUAAGUAACGAUAAAGCGGGUGAAAAGCCCGCUCGCCGGAAGACCAAGGGUUCCUGUCCAACGUUAAUCGGGGCAGGGUGAGUCGACCCCUAAGGCGAGGCCGAAAGGCGUAGUCGAUGGGAAACGGGUUAAUAUUCCCGUACUUGGUGUUACUGCGAAGGGGGACGGAGAAGGCUAUGUUGGCCGGGCGACGGUUGUCCCGGUUUAAGCGUGUAGGUGUGUGUUCCAGGUAAAUCCGGUUCACUUUAACACUGAGGCGUGACGACGAGGCACUACGGUGCUGAAGCAACAAAUGCCCUGCUUCCAGGAAAAGCCUCUAAGCAUCAGGUAACAUCAAAUCGUACCCCAAACCGACACAGGUGGUCAGGUAGAGAAUACCAAGGCGCUGAGAGAACUCGGGUGAAGGAACUAGGCAAAAUGGUGCCGUAACUUCGGGAGAAGGCACGCUGACACGUAGGUGAAGUGAUUUACUCAUGGAGCUGAAGUCAGUCGAAGAUACCAGCUGGCUGCAACUGUUUAUUAAAAACACAGCACUGUGCAAACACGAAAGUGGACGUAUACGGUGUGACGCCUGCCCGGUGCCGGAAGGUUAAUUGAUGGGGUCAGCGCAAGCGAAGCUCCUGAUCGAAGCCCCGGUAAACGGCGGCCGUAACUAUAACGGUCCUAAGGUAGCGAAAUUCCUUGUCGGGUAAGUUCCGACCUGCACGAAUGGCGUAAUGAUGGCCAGGCUGUCUCCACCCGAGACUCAGUGAAAUUGAACUCGCUGUGAAGAUGCAGUGUACCCGCGGCAAGACGGAAAGACCCCGUGAACCUUUACUAUAGCUUGACACUGAACAUUGAGCCUUGAUGUGUAGGAUAGGUGGGAGGCUUUGAAGUGUGGACGCCAGUCUGCAUGGAGCCGACCUUGAAAUACCACCCUUUAAUGUUUGAUGUUCUAACGUGGACCCGUGAUCCGGGUUGCGGACAGUGUCUGGUGGGUAGUUUGACUGGGGCGGUCUCCUCCUAAAGAGUAACGGAGGAGCACGAAGGUUGGCUAAUCCUGGUCGGACAUCAGGAGGUUAGUGCAAUGGCAUAAGCCAGCUUGACUGCGAGCGUGACGGCGCGAGCAGGUGCGAAAGCAGGUCAUAGUGAUCCGGUGGUUCUGAAUGGAAGGGCCAUCGCUCAACGGAUAAAAGGUACUCCGGGGAUAACAGGCUGAUACCGCCCAAGAGUUCAUAUCGACGGCGGUGUUUGGCACCUCGAUGUCGGCUCAUCACAUCCUGGGGCUGAAGUAGGUCCCAAGGGUAUGGCUGUUCGCCAUUUAAAGUGGUACGCGAGCUGGGUUUAGAACGUCGUGAGACAGUUCGGUCCCUAUCUGCCGUGGGCGCUGGAGAACUGAGGGGGGCUGCUCCUAGUACGAGAGGACCGGAGUGGACGCAUCACUGGUGUUCGGGUUGUCAUGCCAAUGGCACUGCCCGGUAGCUAAAUGCGGAAGAGAUAAGUGCUGAAAGCAUCUAAGCACGAAACUUGCCCCGAGAUGAGUUCUCCCUGAGACUUAGAGUCUCCUGAAGGAACGUUGAAGACGACGACGUUGAUAGCCGGGUGUGUAAGCGCAGCGAUGCGUUGAGCUAACCGGUACUAAUGAACCGUGAGGCUUAACCUU